AUGUAUGACAAGCUCAAGGGUUGUGAGCUUCAGAAAGUGAAGCUGCGGGAUGGGAAGAAUAUGAUGUGUGAUUCGAGACGGCAUUGCGUAUGUGCCCCACCUCCUACACUUCGUCUCCUCGGCCCUAAAGGCACUAGCAGGCACACACAGAACCGGAAGCGCCCCUUGUUUCAGCCAUUCAUUCCUUUUUAUGAAAGAACUAUAAGGAACAGAAAAAUAUUAAAGAAACAAACGUAUUCAAUAAGCAAGAGGAGAGAGAGGGAUUCAAACCCUCGUCGGGCCAAGAAAAAGAUUGAGCCAUUGUGCAGGGACGUUGAGCUCAAGGAUCUUCUGUAG
rnacentral:rRNA from 1 species